rnacentral:lncRNA from 1 species
UUGUGCUAGGCUUUGUUCUGGACACUCGGCAUACAGUGGCAGGCAGGGAAAAACCCUUGCCCUGGUGGAGCUGGCCUCUAGUGGUGAGACAGUGAUAAGGAGAAAAAAAAUGCAGGACAGGUGGGUAGGGGAUGGGCUGGGCGGUUCCAUUUAUUUUUUAAUUUAGUUUAAUUCUAUAUUUUUUUGAGACAAGAGUCUUGCUCUGUCGGCCAGGCUGGAGUGCACAUGGGCGACGAGCGAGACUCAGUCUAAGCAAAAACAAAACACAAAAAACCCAACAUUAGCCAGGUGUGAUGGCUCAUGCCUGUGGGUCCCAGCUACUUGGGAGGCUUAGUGGGGAGGAUUGCUUGAACCUGGGACAUCGAGGCUGCAGUGAGACAUGAUUUGCCGCUGUACUCCAGCCUGGGCAACAGAGUGAGACCCAGUCACAAAAAGAAAAAAAAUAAAUAAAUAAAAGGAGGCAACCAGGUAGGUAUCUCCCAUGGCAUGGUGAGGUAGGGGUGAGCUAUGGUCUCAAUGUCUGUGUCCCCCAAAUUGAUAUGUUGAAGCUUAAUCCUCAACGUUGACAGUGUUAAAAGAUGUGAGGCAUUUGGGGAAGUAAUUAAGUCAGAAGGGCUACGUCCUCACCAAUGAGAUUAUUGGACUUAUAAAAGGAGGCUCAAGGGAACUUGUUUGUCCCUUCUGCCACAUGAGGACACAGCUAGAAGCCACCGCCUAUGAGAAAUGGGCCCUCACCAGACACUGGAUCUGCCAGCGCCUUGAUCCUGGACUUCGCAGACUCCAGAACCAUGAGAAAUAAAAUUCUAUUGUUUAUUUUGGCUGGUCUCGGUGGCUCACGCCUGUAAUCCCAGCACUUUGGGUAGGCCACGGUGGAUCACUUGAGGUUGGGAGUUCGAGACCAGCCUGGCCAACAUGGUGAAACCCCGCCUCUACUAAAAAUACACAAAUUGGCCAGGUGCGGUGGCUCACGCCUGUGAUCCCAGCACUUUAGGAGGCCGAGGCAGGCAGAUAACCUGAGGAUGGGAGUUUGAGACCUGCCUGACCAACAUGGAGAAACCCCGUCUCUACUAAGAAUACUAGCUGUGCGUGAUGGUGCAUGCCUAUAAUCCCAGCUACUCAGGAGGCUGAGGCAGGAGAAUCACUUGAACCCGGGAGGCAGAAGUUGCGGUGACCCAAGAUCAUGCCAUUGCACUCCAGCCUGGGCAAUAAGAGUGAAACUCAGUCUC